rnacentral:tRNA from 1 species
AGGAUUAUAGUUAAUUAUAACACCUGGGUUGCAUUCAGGAGGUACUUCAGAGUUUAUCUUU